UACAGAGGGGGCAAGCGUUGUCCGGAAUCAUUGGGCGUAGAGCGCGUGUAGGCGGUCCGGUAAGUCCGCUGUGAAAGUCGGGGGCUCAACCCUCGGAUGCCGGUGGAUACUGUCGGGCUUGAGUACGGAAGAGGCGAGUGGAAUUCCUGGUGUAGCGGUGAAAUGCGCAGAUAUCAGGAGGAACACCAAUUGCGAAGGCAGCUCGCUGGGACGUUACUGACGCUGAGGAGCGAAAGCGUGGGGAGCGAACAGG
rnacentral:rRNA from 1 species